rnacentral:rRNA from 1 species
AAAAGAACCUGAAACCGUGUACGUACAAGCAGUGGGAGCACAGGUUUACCUGUGUGACUGCGUACCUUUUGUAUAAUGGGUCAGCGACUUAUAUUCUGUAGCAAGGUUAACCGUAUAGGGGAGCCGUAGGGAAACCGAGUCUUAACCGGGCGUUAAGUUGCAGGGUAUAGACCCGAAACCCGGUGAUCUAGCCAUGGGCAGGUUGAAGGUUG